CAGAAAAUAGUUUAAAAAAUAUUAAUUUUGGAGAUUAAAGAUAAAGGUUUUCUUUUUUUCUGA
rnacentral:tRNA from 1 species